AUUCAACGUGACGGUGUCCGUGCUUGUGUAUUCUUCCCUAUAGCUGAGUUUCGCUGUGAAAAACGCGGCUUUGUGUUGGUUUAUUUCGCUUUUAAAGAGGGUCAUCUGCCCAUGUUAAGUUGUGACUGUCACUGGUUAACAUGGGCGUGUUCACCGCAUCACUCACGUGUGUUGAACGGCCAACACCGUGAAGGAGAUAUGUGCAGGUAAAGCGACGGGAGACGGUAGCUUGUCCGUGGUGCAGAGAAUACGACGCUGGGUUGGUAAUCAUAUUGCUGUUGUGCAGAGUUUCGAAUCCCGCAUGGGGCUUUAUUUAUACAUGUGGCUGUUUUGUUUUAUAAGCACGUUUUCAUUACUUUCUGUGCACGGUAUCGACAGGACGGCUGUUUUUAUUCAACGCAGAUAUCUAUAUCUUGCAACAUUUGACGGCCACACAGCAUAGGAGUGGUCUCGGAUUGUGACGAAUCUGCGGAGGCCAACACCAAGCACAUCUGGUUGCCUGGAAUGUAAACAAAUAUCACCAGUCAACAUGAUCACCAGUUAAACUGGAACACCGGCUGUCCGUGCGUACGUGCGUAACAGUGAGAGUGAGCGUAUAGCUACAUAUUUUGGUGUUUCUAGCGACCAGAGAGAUGACGAAACACACAGAAAAGAAGAAUUACACCAUUGAAGAAGUUAUCGAUGAGUUUACAAUAAGGAAAAGCAACUUUUCUGACGAGGACGUGUCGGACGCAGAAAGUUAUGUGUUAUGUGUUGACUCGGUGGAAGAAGAUAUGUUCAUUGAAGGAGGAGAUAUAGUCCUUGACAAGCAAACUGAUUUAGAUACAGAGUGGGAGCCAAGCACCAGAGCCAGAGCAGCCUCCUACUCCCAGUGUACAACAUCACAAGCCAGUCUACAUCUCUGGUGACAGUAAGACACCCAUCAAGCUUUCUAGCUGUGCUUUGUAGCAGCCCGUGACUGUAACAGUGGCAUGCUGAGAACAACAUGUGGCUGUGAAACCUGUGGAAUUGUAAACAUGUAAACAGUUUGCUGUAAGUAGUUUGGGUAUUUGUUUAGAUAAAGGUGUUGUUUUUG
rnacentral:lncRNA from 1 species